AUAAUGGGUCAGCGACUUAUAUUCUGUAGCAAGGUUAACCGAAUAGGGGAGCCGAAGGGAAACCGAGUCUUAACUGGGCGUUAAGUUGCAGGGUAUAGACCCGAAACCCGGUGAUCUAGCCAUGGGCAGGUUGAAGGUUGGGUAACACUAACUGGAGGACCGAACCGACUAAUGUUGAAAAAUUAGCGGAUGACUUGUGGCUGGGGGUGAAAGGCCAAUCAAACCGGGAGAUAGCUGGUUCUCCCCGAAAGCUAUUUAGGUAGCGCCUCGUGAAUUCAUCUCCGGGGGUAGAGCACUGUUUCGGCAAGGGGGUCAUCCCGACUUACCAACCCGAUGCAAACUGCGAAUACCGGAGAAUGUUAUCACGGGAGACACACGGCGGGUGCUAACGUCCGUCGUGAAGAGGGAAACAACCCAGACCGCCAGCUAAGGUCCCAAAGUCAUGGUUAAGUGGGAAACGAUGUGGGAAGGCCCAGACAGCCAGGAUGUUGGCUUAGAAGCAGCCAUCAUUUAAAGAAAGCGUAAUAGCUCACUGGUCGAGUCGGCCUGCGCGGAAGAUGUAACGGGGCUAAACCAUGCACCGAAGCUGCGGCAGCGACGCUGAUGCGUUGUUGGGUAGGGGAGCGUUCUGUAAGCCUGUGAAGGUGUACUGUGAGGUAUGCUGGAGGUAUCAGAAGUGCGAAUGCUGACAUAAGUAACGAUAAAGCGGGUGAAAAGCCCGCUCGCCGGAAGACCAAGGGUUCCUGUCCAACGUUAAUCGGGGCAGGGUGAGUCGACCCCUAAGGCGAGGCCGAAAGGCGUAGUCGAUGGGAAACAGGUUAAUAUUCCUGUACUUGGUGUUACUGCGAAGGGGGGACGGAGAAGGCUAUGUUGGCCGGGCGACGGUUGUCCCGGUUUAAGCGUGUAGGCUGGUUUUCCAGGCAAAUCCGGAAAAUCAAGGCUGAGGCGUGAUGACGAG
rnacentral:rRNA from 1 species